NNNGAAGAAGCGCCGGCUAACUACGUGCCCGCAGCCGCGGUAAUACGUAGGGCGCGAGCGUUGUCCGGAAUUAUUGGGCGUAAAGAGCUCGUAGGCGGCUGGUCGCGUCUGCUGUGAAAUCCGGGGCUUAACCCCGGGCGUGCAGUGGAUACGGGCCGGCUGGAGGCAGGCAGGGGAGAAUGGAAUUCCCGGUGUAGCGGUGAAAUGCGCAGAUAUCGGGAGGAACACCGGUGGCGAAGGCGGUUCUCUGGGCCUGUACUGACGCUGAGGAGCGAAAGCGUGGGGAGCAAACAGGAUUAGAUACCCUGGUAGUCCACGCCGUAAACGUUGGGCGCUAGGUGUGGGUCCCUCCACGGGGUCUGUGCCGCAGCUAACGCAUUAAGCGCCCCGCCUGGGGWGUACGGCCGCAAGGCUAAAACU
rnacentral:rRNA from 1 species